rnacentral:lncRNA from 1 species
AAAAGAUAAUAACGUAUGGGCAUGGGCUCCAGGAAACAAGGCAUGUCGGAAGUCCAUAUGCAUUCAGCAAGUUCACAUGCCGUUCAAAACAAAAGCAAAAGAAGACAAAUAAUUCGGUCCACUUUCAGAAACAGUAACACCGACAGUUUUCAAAAACAGUGCAAAGUUACUAUUUAAAAACGCGGUAAAUAGUUGUUUGCUUUUUGAAAAGUUGUUUUGUCGUUUAGGAAAUUGAUUUGUAUAUAAGGGAGUCUUUCCUCCCAUGCAGGGACACCUUAAUACACAUGACUCCAAUUCACCUCAAGCAUAGAACAUCCGAAACAUUCCUAUCCUUUUUAAACAUUUUAUAUAUCAAUAAAAGUUCAAGUGUACAGAUUCAAGCAAUCUCCAAGUCUUAAGUAAGUUUUUUUUUUCUUUCUUUAGUAUGUUUGUUUAAAUAGACUUCUAGUCCAAAAUAGGGAAACACUAUUGUAGUUAUAUUAUUAACCUGCUAAACUGACGAUCAUACUUUGUUCGAGCACUCUGUUAUAGUUGAAUGCUUACCAUACAAAUAACUGGACAUUAACCAGGGUACCUCUGAGUUCUUCUUAGCUCUGAGUUUAACUUUGAAGGCCUUAGCAUUGUGAGUGGCCGUUAUGCUGAAACAUGUCGAGUUUCAUGUGCAAGGUUUUAUAUCCACUUGUUAUAAUGGUCAUCUGACUAUUUAAUCAGACCUUUGCUUUCUGAAUUUGGUAUCAGAGCCAAGUUUAGCAUUUUAAUAGUAUAAUUAUAAUAGUAAAUCAAGUACCUUGAGGUAGGAAGUCAUUAACACAAUUGAUAUCACACACUUGUUUAAUUUUAUAUGAACAAUAGAUAUUAUUGUCUUUGUAGACCAUGUCAACCACAACCACCAUGUAUUUAUUAUCCUAGACAUCCAACUACAACUAGCAUAAAGAGAAGAUUAGCAUAUAUUUCCAAAAGAAUUAGCAAGACUUUGAAGAAGUAGAAGUUUUAUCCUGGUUAUCUUGAACACCCUUUAUUUAUUAAUAAAUAUAAUAACACAGAAGUGCAGCAUAACGUAUUAGCAGCAAAAAGAGUAACAUAUCAUACUUUAAAGACCUUGCGAGAAGAAAGAGAGUUUUUAAGAAACUAAUUAAUCAUAACUUUAGAGAAAGGUAGACUAUAGUUUAUGAUAGAUUAUCUUAAUUUAGAAAUCAGUGAACCUCAAAAAAGAAAAAUCACUCUAGACUAAAAUAGUUUAGUUUGUUAUUUUCCUUUGAGAAAGCAUAAUCGUAUUUUGUAUAGUGAAGAAGAUCCAUAAUCCAAUAGUAUUAUAGAUCUUAGUAUUAGUCAAGCAGAAAAUAUAAACCUAGAAAAUAAUAAGCAUAAUUAUUUGUUAAACCAGUUGUUAGAGCAUUGUCAGAAAAAUUCCAUAAAAACAAUUAGACAAAAUUUAGAUUAUAUUACAUCUAAGUUAGAAGAUAAUAAUAAAAAUAUUCAAAGGUUUCCUUGCAAAAGAGAGAUAAAAGAGUUUAUUGACCACAUAGAUAGUAAGUUUAAGCAAGUAGAACUUAGAUCACUAGAAAUAGUUGAGCAAUUAAAAUUAAAAGUUCAAAAAAUUCAAUUAGUGCAAAAAGAGUUGAGUGAACAAGUAGAUAAGUUCGAUGAUAAAAUAGAUAAAUUAUUCAAUUAGUGCAAAAAGAGUUGAGUGAACAAGCAUUUUAAUAGUAUAAUUUUAAUAGUAAAUUAAGUACCUUGAGGUAGAAAGUCAUUAACACAACUGAUAUCAUAUACUUGUUUAACGUUAUAUGAACAAUAGAUAUUAUUGUUUUUGUAGACCAUGUCAACCACAACCACCAUGUAUUUAUUAUCCUAGACAUCCAACUGCAACUAGCAUAAAGAGAAGAUUAGCAUAUAUUUCCAAAAGAAUUAGCAAGACUUUGAAGAAGUAGAAGUUUUAUCCUGGUUAUCUUGAACACCCUACAUUUAUUAAUAAAUAUAAUAACACAGAAGUGCAGCAUAACGUAUUAGCAGCAAAAAGAGUAACAUAUCAUACUUUAAAGACCUUGCGAGAAGAAAGAGAGUUUUUAAGAAACUAGUUAAUCAUAACUUUAGAGAAAGGUAGACUGUAGUUUAUGAUAGAUUAUCUUAAUUUAGAAAUUAGUGAACCUCAAAAAAGAAAAAUCACUCCAGACCAAAAUAGUUUAGUUUGUUAUUUUCCUUUGAGAAAGCAUAAUCAUAUUUUGUAUAGUGAAGAAGAUCCAUAAUCCAAUAGUAUUAUAGAUCUUAUUGUUAGUCAAGCAGAAAAUAUAAAACUAGAAAAUAAUAAGCAUAAUUAUUUGUUAAACAAGUUGUUAGAGCAUUUUUAGAAAAAUUCCAUAAAAAUAAUUAGACAAAAUUUAGAUUUUAUUACAUCUAAGUUAGAAGAUAAUAAUCAAAAUAUCCAAAGGUUUCCUUGCAAGAGAGAGAUAAAAGAGCUUAUUGACCUCAUAGAUAGUAAGUCUAAGCAAGUAGAACUUAGAUCACUAGAAAUAGUUAAGCAAUUAAAAUUAGAAGUUCAAAAAAAUUCAAUUAGUGCAAAAAGAGUUGAGUGAACAAGUAGAUAAGUUACAUGAUAAAAUAGAUAAAUUAUUCAAUUAGUGCAAAAAGAGUUGAGUGAACAAGCAUUUUAAUAGUAUAAUUAUAAUAGUAAAUUAUGUACCUUGGGAUAGGAAGUCAUUAACACAACUGAUAUCACACACUUGUUUAACUUUAUAUGAACAAUAGAUAUUAUUGUCUUUGUAGACCAUGUCAACCACAACCACCAUGUAUUUAUUAUCCUAGACAUCCAACUACAACUUGCAUAAAGAGAAGAUUAGCAUAUAUUUCCAAAAGAAUUAGCAAGACUUUGAAGAAGUAGAAGUUUUAUGCUGGUUAUCUUGAACACUAUUAAUAAAUAUAAUAACAAAAAAGUGCGACAUAACGUACUAGCAGCAAAAAGAAUAACAUAUCAUACUUUAGAGACCUUGUGAGAAGAAAGAGAGUUUUUAAGAAACUAGUUAAUCAUAACUUUAGAGAAAGGUAGACUGUAGUUUAUGAUAGAUUAUCUUAAUUUAGAAAUUAGUGAACCUCAAAAAAGAAAAAUCACUCUAGACCCAAAUAGUUUAGUUUGUUAUUUUCCUUUGAGAAAACAUAAUCAUAUUUUGUAUAGUGAAGAAGAUCCACGAGUCAAUAGUAUUAUAGAUCUUAUUAUUAGUCAAGCAGAAAAUAUAAAACUAGAAAAUAAUAAGCAUAAUUAUUUGUUAAACCAGUUGUUAGAGCAUUUUCAGAAAAAUUCCAUAAAAACAAUUAGACAAAAUUUAGAUUAUAUUAUAUCUCAGUUAGAAGAUAAUAAUAAAAAUAUCCAAAGGUUUCCUUGCAAAAGAGAGAUAAAAGAGCUUAUUGACCUCAUAGAUAGUAAAUCUAAACAAGUAGAACUUAGAUCACUAGAAAUAGUUGAGCAAAUAAAAUUAGAAGUUCAGAAAAUUCAAUUAGUGCAAAAAGAGUUGAGUGAACAAGUAGAUAAGUUACAUGAUAAAAUAGAUAAAUUAUUCAAUUAGUGCAAAAAGAGUUGAGUGAACAAGCAUUUUAAUAGUAUAAUUAUAAUAGUAAAUUAAGUACCUUGAGGUAGGAAGUCAUUAACACAACCAAUGUCUUAAAUGCCGAUAAUAUCGGCGAUAUUUCGCCGAUAUUAUCGGUUUUUUGCUUUACCGAUAUUUUAAUAGGUAUCCAAGGUGUUUUCGUCAAAAUAUCGCGAUAUUACCGAUAAUAUCGCGAUAUUACCAAUAAUAUCGCAAAAUUUUGGAUUUGUGAAAAUCGGAGAAGAACGCCGGAGCUUUUACAGCUCCGGCCGACUGUAAAAGAGCACCCUAGACUCCGAUCUAGGUAUCAAAAUGAAAUAGAAGACGAGAGGAAUGUUUUUAUAACUUUCGUUUGCGUGAAACGGUCAGAGGUGGUCGGAAAGUUCGUCGACACUCACAGCCUCGCCGGAGCUGGGUGUGCCUUCCCCCAGGUCGAUCUCCUCCUAAAACCUUGUUAAAAAAACCAGAUAAAACUUAGUAUAUCUCGAUUCUCAACCACACCACACAACAUCCAAGAUGAAUUGAGGGCUUACCUAACCGGAGAAGGAUCAAGAGAACUCGCCGGAGAGUUCCUGGGUUUCACUGUCCUAGCUGCACCUAGAGAAAGGAAGAGAAAGACGAGGUUUAGCUUGUCUCUAUGAAGAUGAGGGAAGAGAGAGUGCUGCCGACGACGAAUUUCUGCAGCGCGUCUGUGAAGAUGAGGGAGGAGACGGUGCAGAGAGAGAAGCGCAUCUGUGAAGAUGAGGGAUGAGACGGUGUGGGAGAGAGAGAGAGAGAGAGAGAGGGAGAGACAGAGAGAGAAAGAGAGACUUUAACAUACCACCUAAGGUGGACGGGUAGUGGACGAGAGACUUAAACAAACAAAACCAUGGGCUCUGAUGGUUGUAACUUGUAAUUAUGAGGUGGACAAGUGACGUGAAAGAGGUGAGGUGCACCUCCGAUGGUUUUAACUUUUAAUAAUGAAGGCCAUCCAUUUAUAUUUUUAAAAGUUUAGGAUAUAUAUUAUAUAUAUAUAUAUAUAUGUUAUAUAAAUUAUAAAUUAUUUAGAUAAUAUUUUGUUUUUUUUUACUAAGCAAGCAGAUUAUAUUCGAACCCUCCCUUUGUCAACCACGCACAUGGGCCUUAUCCAACUCGCUACAGAUGUGUUUGUGAUUACAUAUUCAACCUGUAAUAUUUAUAUGGUCGUUAAGAUGUUUGCAAGGCUUGCAAGCUAAUAUUUAUUAUCUAGGAUAAAUUUCUAUAUUUUAAAAAACACCAAGGUGAACAUUUUGAAUCUUAUAGGAACUCUAUGUGGUACUAAGUCACUCAUGUAUCUUACCAUGCAAUGUAUAAAGUGUAAAAUAUUGUACUAAUUCAUUAUAUAUAAAUGAUUAUGGUGUGUUUAAACUUCUUUCAUUAAUUACUACAUAUUUUCUACACUCAUAAUGUUUGCCAGCUUGCUAUAUAAUCAACUUAAAUCAGUUAAAUCCAUCAUGCAAUGCAUUUCCUUCUAAUUUUUUGUGAUAAACUAAUAGAUAAUUGAUUAAAUAAACAUCCUGCAAAGUUUCAAUAAAAAUUUCCAAGUUUUUCUUACAAUUUACGUGGUUUCCAUAUUAUUUUUAUCAAUAUCGAUAAUAUCCCGAUAUUUCCAUCGAUAUUUCCGUGUUUUUAGACUACCGAUAUUUCUGAUAUCAUCGAUAUUUAAUACCUUGAACACAACUGAUAUCACACACUUGUUUAAUUUUAUAUGAACAAUAGAUAUUAUUGUCUUUGUAUACCAUGUCAACCACAACCACCAUAUAUUUAUUAUCCUAGACAUCCAACUACAACUAGCAUAAAGAGAAGAUUAUCAUAUAUUUCCAAAAGAAUUAGCAAGACUUUGAAGAAGUAGAAGUUUUAUCUUGGUUAUCUUGAACACCCUUCAUUUAUUAAUAAAUAUAAUAACACAAAAGUGCAGCAUAACGUAUUAGCAGCAAAAGGAGCAACAUAUUGACACACCUCAACCUGAAACAGGGCAUGCUGGCUAUCAUGUGUGGGUGAUGUAGCCAUGUGCACAGUACGGAAGCAAUAGAGAUAUAAGGAAUUACGAAUAAACAAAAACCAAAUCAACUAGAGUACUAGAUGAGAUAAGGUGUAAGUGCGAGAUUAAAUGUGAAAUACACAACCAGAGCAUAAAUAUCCUAGAUGCAGUCAAGCAGGACAAGUACUAAUUAUUCAACAUCCAAAGGUGACCCUACAUUAAUGAUGUUCUGUCAGAACCCCCGCCGAAAUCCUCGUGAUCCACCAAGCACUUCUACCUAAAACCUGGAGGGGCGCAAAACAGAAAGUGUGAGUGGGCAAAAACAAAGCUUUUCAAAAUCAUUUCAUUUCUCAAAAGUUCUAACCCCUCGCCGUAAAACCUAUAUAAUUUACCAGAAAAUAAUAGUAAAUAAUAAGCUGUAUCAGCAAUCAUACUCAAGAUGAAAAUCCAUAGAAGUAUACCAUGCCAAAGUAUCUCAAUGCAAUGCUAUAAGUAAACCAGAUACAAUGUAUCAAUGCCAGAUAUAGCAUCAGCCGAAUCUACCUAUGUGACCAGCAUGGCUGGGUUUAUAGCUCAUAACCAAUCUCAAUCAUAUCAAAUCAAAUCCUGCACAUGAGUCGGAACCACCUAAAGUGGUAUGUACGAUAAGACUAGGUGUAACAUAAAUAUGCUCUAGUGCUACAUUCACGUGAAGGUUGUGUGAAUAAUCGCGGGUCACCUACGAGUCAAAACCACCUAAAGUGGUAUGUACGACAAGCCUGUGCACCUAACUUGGAUCCAAGGUGAGCAUAUGGUGCGGGAGGUGAACAUCACAUGAAAGACUGUGCCCUAACUCUGGGCGGGAGCACUAACACCGGGGUGCAGGUUUAUGGGCUCUUAAUACAUCACAUCAUAUCUCACAUAACUGAAGUAACCUCAUAUCUAUAAUUUAUGAACUUACCUGGCACUUACCCUGUGCGUCCGCAACACCAAUUAUAAAUAUAUGCAACUACUAAUGCAUAAAUAAAAUAGUCAGAUACUUUGCAUGGCAUUUCAAAACGUAUAAUCAUUCAAUUUCAUUUUUUUGGGAAAAACUCAAGUAUACAGGUAUAUACGGAAAACCAAAAGCCCACUCAUUGAUAUGUCGAAGGGUCGUAGCCCUCGAGCCUCGAUUGAUGACACUCGUCCUCGGGAUAGGUCUCACCUAUAUGUGAAAUAACUGAAUAAAUGUUAUUUAAAGCACAUACACAAAACUAGGAAAUAACUUCUCAUACAUUGCUCAAAUGGGGUAUUUGAAUAUACCACCAUGACCUACUCAUCCUCAGAAACAUCCCCAUAUUUUUAGAAAUUUUUUUCGACCACUCACGCGCUGCCACGCGUGGGCCAAGGCACGGCCAGAUGAGCCCCCACGCGCGGCCAAACCCUAACUGAAACUUAACUGCCGUUAGGAAUAUUCCGUUAAACCUUAAUAGAAGUUAACGGCGUUACCUGACACCAUUAGAAUAUUCUGUCAGACUUGACAGAAUAUUCUCCUUCGUUUUCCUUGGUUUGCAGGAGAAUUUCGCCGGCGCCGCACGAUCACCGAAACUGGAAAAUAUAUAAACCUUCAUAUCUCGCUCAUUUUCCCACCAAAACUCAUGAAAUUUGUACCAAAAUGAAGCUUAGGACUAGAAGAACAAAACCUUACCACUUUCAAGCCUUGAAUUCCACGGAAUCUCGCCAGAGAAACCUCAAUAUUUCGGCCAAACUUGAAACUUGUCAAACUCAACUUCCCGACGUCCAAUUCACUUCGUUUUUCUUCUCCAAGCUUCGUGAAGAUGUCCUAAGACCAUCUCCAACCCUUGGGCUAAAAGCCAAAUUUUUUAGCUCGGAAAAUUUAGCUUUUAGCCCAGAAACAUCUUUUCUGCUCCAACCCUUCUACCCUAAAAUUUUAGCCCGGAAUUAUUAAAGAAUGAAAUUAGCCUAAAUUUUUUUCUUAAAUCAAUUUAAAAAAAAUAAAUAUGUAGAUUAUUGUAAAUUAAUUUUAUGAACAUUUUAAUCUAAAAAAAUUUAAAUUCCGAUAAACAUUUCGCAUUUAGCCCGGGGGGAAAGCUGGGGGGGUAUUUGGCCCAGAAAUAGCAUUUGGCAUUUAGCCUAAAAUUUUAGCAUGGGUUGGAGAGUGUUUUGGGGGGGGGUAAUUUGGGGGGUAAUUUGGCUUUUAGCCCAGGGUUGGAGAUGAUCUAAAGCUCACUAGUAGCUUAAAAUCUUUUAAAAACUUCGAAAUCACGAGUGCAUGAACAGUAACCCAAAACUGGGUUCUCGGGUUCUCAGGAAAAUGAGGUCUUCACGUUCUAAAAAUGGUAUAGAUGUGUUCCUAGACUCACAAGGAACACAAAGAUGACUUCAAAAACCUCGAUCCGUGAAGAAAUUGCUUGGUUUGAGGUUUGUCCGUACGUAUUGUACGGAAAAUGGAGAAAAACCGAGAGCGAAAAGAGAGAAAGAGAGUCAAUGGGAAAGGGUUGGUGUGUGUGGUCCUGAUUUUUCUUACAACCAACCAAAACAAUUAGAACCUUUAGUUCUAAUUGGGUCCAAAAGGUUAGGAAGAAAAUAAGUAAACCCAAUUGUUUAAUUGCUUAGCUUAUUUACACAACCCACAACUCAAGGCGAGCCGACCAGUGAGCGGAUUUUAGGUGGUCUAUCAAGCUGUUAUCGUCAUCAUUUUUAGUCAAGGCGAGCCGACCAACGAGCGGACUAGCGAGCCGGUAGAAAAUAUUCAAGGUCCGGGCAAGAGUGGAUUUUAGGUGGUCUAUAAAGCUGUUGCUUUCUUCCGUCUCUGCUGAUUUCUUGAAGAGAAGCCCCUUAUGAAUAUAAUCAAUUUGGAUCAAGCACAGAUCCCAAGGAGCCAACUCGAUUGAUCUGAGAUUUAACACAUCGUUGUCGUCAUUCGUUGGUCGGAUGGUGCUGGUGGAGAUGUGCCGAAUCGGAGUCAUUUCAAUUGAUUGCAGCUCACAACAUUGAAGGGUGAUGGUUAUAGAAUGUGGUGAUAUAGUACGGUGGAUUUGUUUACGAUGGAAGAUAGAACAACGAGAUAAGCAUGGAGGAUUUUAUAAUAAUCCUAACAUAUAAGAAAGAAGAUAUGUAUUUUGUAAACUAAAAGGGGCGUAGUCAUUGUGUAUUUCAGAUUAUUUUAAAAGAUUUUUUUAAUAAGUCACAGAUUUUAAAGGAUUGUAGAAUCCUUACAACUUUAAAAUAUUCUUAUAGAUUUUGAUAAAAGAUUUGAAAGGAUUUUAUGGACUUUGAUUAAAGAUUUGAAUGGAUUUUGAGAGACUCUCUUCUGGUUUUUAAAAAAUAUUUUUUUAAAUAAAUAAGAUUAAACUUGAAUGGAAAACUAUCCAAAACACUAAAAACUCUAGAAAACUUUAAUUUAAUCAUAAAGACAAAUAAUUUCAAAAAUGUCAAGGUUGCCCUUGAAAACCUUUAUACAACAACUUAAUACAAAAGAUAAUAAAGUAUAGGCAUGGGCUCCAGGAGACAAGGCAUGGGCUCCAGGAGACAAGGCAUGUCGGAAGUCCAUAUGCAUUCAGCAAGUUCACAUGCUGUUCAAAACAAAAGCAAAAGAAGACAAAUAAUUCGGUCCACUUUCAAAAACAGUAACAUCGAUAGUUUUCAAAAACAGUGCAAAGUUACUAUUUAAAAACGUUGUAAAUAGUUGUUUGCUUUUUGAAAAGUUGUUUUGUAGUUUAGGAAAUUGAUUUGUAUAUAAGGAAGUAUUUCCUCCCAUGCAGCGACACCUUAAUACACACUACUCCAAUACACCUCAAGCAUAGAACAUCCGAAACAUUCAUAUCCUUUGUAAACCUUUUAUAUAUCAAUGAAAGUUUAAGUGUACAUAUUCAAGCAAUCUCCAAGUCUUAAGUAAGUUUUUUUUCUUUUUUUUUUCUUUAUUUCUUUAGUAUGUUUGUUUAAUUAGACUUCUAAUCCAAAAUAGGGAAACACUAUUCUAGUUAUAUUAUUACCUGCUAAACUGACGAUCAUACUUUGUUUGAGCACUCUGUUAUAGUUGAAUGCUUACCAUACAAAUAAUUGGACAUUAACCAGGGUACCUCUGAGUUCUUCUUAGCUCUGAGUUUAGCCUUUAAGGCCUUAUACCUGCAUU